AUGCUCACUGGGAGAGCACAUACACUGAAAUUGGAAUGAAACAGGAUUAGCAUGGCCCCGGUGCGGGGAUAACACACAAACUCACAUUCCAUAGUUUU
rnacentral:snRNA from 1 species